rnacentral:rRNA from 1 species
UACGUAGGGUGCGAGCGUUGUCCGGAAUUAUUGGGCGUAAAGAGCUUGUAGGCGGUUUGUCGCGUCUGCCGUGAAAAUCCGGGGCUCAACCCCGGACUUGCGGUGGGUACGGGCAGACUAGAGUGUGGUAGGGGAGACUGGAAUUCCUGGUGUAGCGGUGAAAUGCGCAGAUAUCAGGAGGAACACCGAUGGCGAAGGCAGGUCUCUGGGCCACUACUGACGCUGAGGAGCGAAAGCGUGGGUAGCGAACAGG